UACAGAGGUCUCGAGCGUUAGUCGGAAUCACUGGGCUUAAAGCGUACGUAGGCGGAUAUGCAGGCGUCGUGUGAAAUCCCCGGGCUCAACCCGGGAACUGCACGGCGAACCGCAUGUCUUGAGAUCGGUAGGGGCGGUCGGAACGAUAGGUGGAGUGGUGAAAUGCGUUGAUAUCUAUCGGAACGCCGAAGGUGAAGACAGGCCGCUGGGCCGACUCUGACGCUGAGGUACGAAAGCGUGGGUAGCGAACGGG
rnacentral:rRNA from 1 species